rnacentral:sRNA from 1 species
GCGCCUAUAAGGGAAGUUGUUCAGUCAACUCGGAAAAGGGGUAGCAACCCGGAAAGUAGACUCACCGUCUUGGUCUAGAGACUGACCCCUGCACAGACAGACCCCUUCCCCUCUCUGCGAAAGACCCAAGCCCCAGAAGUCACUCCAUCUCCUACGGCUCGCAAUUUCCAGAGGCCCCCUGGCACCUUCCAGCCUGAUGUCGUGCGUCAAGUUAUGGCCCAGCGGUGCCCCCGCCCCCUUGGUGUCCAUCGAGGAACUGGAGAACCAGGAGCUCGUCGGCAAAGGCGGGUUCGGCACAGUGUUCCGGGCGCAACAUAGGAAGUGGGGCUACGAUGUGGCGGUCAAGAUCGUAAACUCGUGAGUGACCCCGGUUGACCCCAGCCGCAAUCUGGCCAAAAAGGUGGAGCCACUGUGCUCUGGGGCCUGAAUGGGGAAGGGAGGGAUUUUCCCACGACCCCGGUGCGACUCCAGCUCUCUCCUGGAGUGUAGGAAGGCGAUAUCCAGGGAGGUCAAGGCCAUGGCAAGUCUGGAUAACGAAUUCGUGCUGCGCCUAGAAGGGGUUAUCGAGAAGGUGAACUGGGACCAAGAUCCCAAGCCGGCUCUGGUGACUAAAUUCAUGGAGAACGGCUCCCUGUCGGGGCUGCUGCAGUCCCAGUG